CUCGAUUCAACAGGUUUGACUCGAAUCACAUUUUCCACCUAAACUAUUCGAAAGAAUGCGUACCUAUUUAAAAAAAAAAUUUCUUACCAGAAAUGAACCAUCAAACAACCUGAAUGACACCGAACAAACAAAAUUGGUUUGGAAAAAGCUCGCAACAAGGAGGAAUAUUGGGAUUUGUGGCAAAAUUGAUACUAAAUGUUCGUAAAAUGAAUAAUUAUGGGACAACCACAACAUGUAUACAGCAAGCCGGUGCCCAGGAGGCGCUAGCCAAAGAACCGAAUAGAAGAAAUGGCUAAUAAGCAAUUAAAUUCCGGUAGUCAGAUGAAUCAUAAUCCAACUGAAUAAUAUAUUAAUCAAUCAAGCAGUGUGGGAGGCAACAGUCCCAUUAACCCAGGUAAUAUAAGUUAAGGCCUAAACCAAGGAAUCCGUCACAGAAUUCCCCAGGAAUGGAUCAAAAUCUUCAACAAAUGGGCAUGAACCAAAUGAAUCCAAACAUUAAAAGUCCAGGUGGAAAUAUGGCCCAAGUGCCACUGCAAGUUGGAACUUAGCAGCAGGCUCAGGCCGGAAUGUGUCCAGGUGGACCGAAUAAUUUGCAUCAAGCUCCAGGUCAACAACAACCAAAUCAAGGUGCACCAAAUGUUGGACCAGGUCGAAUGAAUUCUGUAAACAGGGUAACAUUGUCAACAUUUCCGGUCAUCAAAUAAAUCCUCAAGGCAAUUUUGUUCCAAUUGGAGCUAAUCCAAUUGCAAUGGUAGGUAAACUUCGAGUUAUAAUGAGCCGUGAACAAUUAUAUCUGGGGGGAGCGGUAGAAGUUUAAUCUCGAAUUGAUUUCUUCUCCAAUCUCCAUCGCCUUCGGUUCCAUUUCCGGUUGGAGGACAGUGUUCCAUAGGUUCGCAAUACAUCUCCGAAUCCUGGAAUGGGCAGAGUUCCUCUCAUAAAUAUCAGCCAAUAGCUAGGUUCCAAUUUUGACACUUCUAGCCAGCCUUGUGGAGCAACCACGGGCCAUUGAAUGCUAAAGACGAUAACUGUAUCGAGAAAAAUAUCGGGCACUUACGAAAGUGUGGGCAAAGAUUAUUUGGAUGGAGAGGCCAAACGACAUCUUUCAUCGCUAUCAAGGAUGGGUCCUUCGUUUUUGCUAUAGCUGAUGUCCUCAUGGAUGAAAUCAGCAUCGGAAAAAUUAAAUAAGAACAAAUAUUGGAUACACCGUUGGCAGCUAUGAUGCCAUCUAAAUAUGUCGAAGUGGACGCAACGAAACUGUUCAUCAAAACCGAGAGAUUUUGACUCGCGCAAAUAAAUUUUCAGUAGGUUUUUUUUUAUAAAUUUAGGAUUCAAAAUAAUUUUUCAUCUCCAGAUCCCGUUGGCAAUACCGGUAGGAUAACGACGUAUUUCAUCGAAAACGACAGCAGCGUUCAUAUCUAAAUGGAGCGUUUCGAAGGUGGAGGCGAUCGUUUUUGGUUGGCCAGAAUCAACACACUUUUUAGUA